rnacentral:rRNA from 1 species
CAGUAGCCGCGGGAAUACGGAGGGUGCAAGCGUUAAUCGGAAUUACUGGGCGUAAAGCGCACGCAGGCGGUCUGUCAAGUCAGAUGUGAAAUCCCCGGGCUUAACCUGGGAACUGCAUUUGAAACUGGCAGACUGGAGUCUUGUAGAGGGGGGUAGAAUUCCAGGUGUAGCGGUGAAAUGCGUAGAGAUCUGGAGGAAUACCGGUGGCGAAGGCGGCCCCCUGGACAAAGACUGACGCUCAGGUGCGAAAGCGUGGGGAGCAAACAGGAUUAGAGACCCCGGUAGUCCCUGUCUCUUAUAC